rnacentral:rRNA from 1 species
UACGUAGGGUGCGAGCGUUGUCCGGAAUUAUUGGGCGUAAAGAGCUCGUAGGCGGUGUGUCGCGUCGGCCGUGAAAACCUGCAGCUUAACUGUGGGCUUGCGGUCGAUACGGGCAUCACUGGAGUUCGGCAGGGGAGACUGGAAUUCCUGGUGUAGCGGUGGAAUGCGCAGAUAUCAGGAGGAACACCGGUGGCGAAGGCGGGUCUGCUGGCAGUAACUGACGUGAGGAGC